rnacentral:rRNA from 1 species
CAGCAGCCGCGGUAAUACGAAGGGGGCUAGCGUUGCUCGGAAUGACUGGGCGUAAAGGGCGCGUAGGCGGUUCACGCAGUCAGAUGUGAAAUUCCUGGGCUUAACCUGGGGGCUGCAUUUGAGACGCGUGGGCUUGAGUGUGAAAGAGGGUCGUGGAAUUCCCAGUGUAGAGGUGAAAUUCGUAGAUAUUGGGAAGAACACCGGUGGCGAAGGCGGCGACCUGGUUCACAACUGACGCUGAGGCGCGAAAGCGUGGGGAGCAAACAGGAUUAGAUACCCGCGUAGUCCCUGUCUCUUAUAC